UACGUAGGGGGCAAGCGUUGUCCGGAAUUAUUGGGCGUAAAGGGCGCGCAGGCGGUCUGGCCAGUCUGAUGUGAAAGCCCCCGGCUCAACCGGGGAGGGACAUUGGAAACUGCCAGACUUGAGUGCAGGAGAGGAGAGCGGAAUUCCACGUGUAGCGGUGAAAUGCGUAGAGAUGUGGAGGAACACCAGUGGCGAAGGCGGCUCUCUGGCCUGUAACUGACGCUGAGGCGCGAAAGCGUGGGGAGCGAACAGG
rnacentral:misc_RNA from 1 species